UACGUAGGUGGCAAGCGUUGUCCGGAAUUAUUGGGCGUAAAGCGCGCGCAGGCGGCUUCUUAAGUCUGAUGUGAAAUCUCGGGGCUCAACCCCGAGCGGCCAUUGGAAACUGGGAAGCUUGAGUACAGAAGAGGAGAGUGGAAUUCCACGUGUAGCGGUGAAAUGCGUAGAUAUGUGGAGGAACACCAGUGGCGAAGGCGACUCUCUGGUCUGUAACUGACGUUGAGGCGCGAAAGCGUGGGGAGCAAACAGG
rnacentral:rRNA from 1 species